rnacentral:tRNA from 1 species
AAUUAUUUGACUGAAUGUUUAAGUAAAUACCUUGAAAGUAUUCAAAAAGAGUUUAAUUCUCUUAAUAAUUU